CAACGUGGUAUGCCAUAGCAAACAUGUAAGAAUGGUUCUGGGUCUCAAUUUAUCAGAUUCCUCUAAUUUAUUAGGACUGCACAUAUGAAAGUAAAUUGCUAGCAGCUGGUUGCCUACCUAAACCUAGCUGAACUCCUGGGAGCUAUUACACAGCUUCUUAAAAUCUGUCCCAGUGUGCACCAAGCUGAUGUGGGAAAGAACAAAGAUACCUCUUCUCAAAGCACCUUAUUUCAUAUUCACCUGGAAGCCCAGGGGAUAUUUCUCCUAAACACCAUAUUGCCCAAAACUCCCUUGAGCUCCCUGCACUCUGGUAGACUUUUCCACAAUUCCUUGACCUAUACACACCAUCUAUUUGGCCAUUGUGGCUCUCAGAAGACCACAGCAAGUCACUUCUGCAGUCCCAAGAUGUAUGUACUAUAUAUAUAUAUAUAUAUAUAUAUAUGCACACACACACAUACAUAUAUACAUAGUACAGUACCCCUUCUCCUUCUUGAAGUCCUCCAGCUUUUCCAUUCUGCCCAAGAUCUGGAUUUCCUGCUAGCCUGUCUACAUGGCACCACUAAUGGUUUUCAAAGAGAGAGAGAAAGUGAGAGAGAGAAUCCUGAGAGCAGUCUGCAGAAGAGUUCUAGGGGUCUGUGUGAAUAUACAUGUGUGCAUGUGUGUGUGAGUAAGGGAGAGAGCAAAAAUGCUGAAAAAAGAACUUUUUGGGACAAUCACAAUGAAAACGCAAAAUAUGUAUAACAAAUCAUUUAGGCAAGUAUACUUCCUACACUGUCACUUGAGAGGCUCUGUGAGAACAGAGACUAUGGCUGGCCUACUCAGUGUAUGUCCCAGUGUCUGUUUUAGCACUUGGUACAUAUGUAUGAGUAGCAUAAUCUCAUCUAGUAAGUGAAUGAAGGAAAAAUGUACUGAUCAUGUUCUAUCGAUAUGACUCAAUAUAGUAAUAAGUCAUUAAUGGAUCUCGGGAAGCAGGAGAUUCGUGAAAAGACUGAAAGAGAAACAAAAAACUGAAAGGGAGCUUGAGAUUUUCCAAUUUGUUUCCACGUGUCUCUUCAAAGUUCAGUCCGUGACUCUGUGGAGCAGUCCCUUACUCCUUGUAAUUCUCUUGCCUCUUAUAGGUUGCUUCCCCUGGUUCCUGUGAGCUCACCAGUGAUACUGUGCCAAGAACUCUCAAACUGGCUUCAUAGUUAAAGAAAGUAGCAUUGACUAGGGAAAAUCAAAGAUGAAAUUCUCUUCUGUGAACCACUAAUCUCUCCCUGUCCCCCUUUCCUAUAUCCCCUCCAUCCUACAAAUCUAGCAGCAGCAUGGGACAGAGGACGAAAAACAACCUGUGUUGAUUUUGAUCCAUUCAUCUUAACUGUAUGAGAUUCACUAAGCCUCAGAUUCUACGUUAGCAAAAUAGGCAUAAAAAUAAUGACCAGGGGUGGGUAUUUGGUCCAGUCAUUAGGACACUAAUGGGAACACCUCUGUUCCAUAUUGGAGUGCCUGUAUUCAAGUCCCAGAUCUAUUUCUGAAUCUGGUUUCCUACUAAUGCACCCCCUGGAAGUCAGCAGGUGAUGGCUGACGUGGGUUCCUGCCAUCCAUGUAAGAUACCUCGAUAGAGUUCAUGGCUCCUAGCUCCUGCCUGGCGCAGCCUUGGCUGUCACAUGGAUUUGGAGAACAAGCCAGUGGAUGAAAGAUCUUUCUCUGUCUCUUUGUAUGUCACCUUCUUUAACCCUGCCUUUCAUAUAAAAUAUAAAUA
ensembl:lncRNA